rnacentral:rRNA from 1 species
GAGUUUGAUCCUGGCUCAGAUUGAACGCUGGCGGCAGGCCUAACACAUGCAAGUCGAGCGGUAGCACAGAGAGCUUGCUCUCGGGUGACGAGCGGCGGACGGGUGAGUAAUGUCUGGGAAACUGCCUGAUGGAGGGGGAUAACUACUGGAAACGGUAGCUAAUACCGCAUAAUGUCGCAAGACCAAAGUGGGGGACCUUCGGGCCUCAUGCCAUCAGAUGUGCCCAGAUGGGAUUAGCUAGUAGGUGGGGUAACGGCUCACCUAGGCGACGAUCCCUAGCUGGUCUGAGAGGAUGACCAGCCACACUGGAACUGAGACACGGUCCAGACUCCUACGGGAGGCAGCAGUGGGGAAUAUUGCACAAUGGGCGCAAGCCUGAUGCAGCCAUGCCGCGUGUGUGAAGAAGGCCUUCGGGUUGUAAAGCACUUUCAGCGGGGAGGAAGGCGUUAAGGUUAAUAACCUUGGCGAUUGACGUUACCCGCAGAAGAAGCACCGGCUAACUCCGUGCCAGCAGCCGCGGUAAUACGGAGGGUGCAAGCGUUAAUCGGAAUUACUGGGCGUAAAGCGCACGCAGGCGGUCUGUCAAGUCGGAUGUGAAAUCCCCGGGCUCAACCUGGGAACUGCAUUCGAAACUGGCAGGCUAGAGUCUUGUAGAGGGGGGUAGAAUUCCAGGUGUAGCGGUGAAAUGCGUAGAGAUCUGGAGGAAUACCGGUGGCGAAGGCGGCCCCCUGGACAAAGACUGACGCUCAGGUGCGAAAAGCGUGGGGAGCAAACAGGAUUAGAUACCCUGGUAGUCCACGCCGUAAACGAUGUCGAUUUGGAGGUUGUGCCCUUGAGGCGUGGCUUCCGGAGCUAACGCGUUAAAUCGACCGCCUGGGGAGUACGGCCGCAAGGUUAAAACUCAAAUGAAUUGACGGGGGCCCGCACAAGCGGUGGAGCAUGUGGUCUAAUUCGAUGCAACGCGAAGAACCUUACCUGGUCUUGACAUCCACAGAACUUUCCAGAGAUGGAUUGGUGCCUUCGGGAACUGUGAGACAGGUGCUGCAUGGCUGUCGUCAGCUCGUGUUGUGAAAUGUUGGGUUAAGUCCCGCAACGAGCGCAACCCUUAUCCUUUGUUGCCAGCGGUUCGGCCGGGAACUCAAAGGAGACUGCCAGUGAUAAACUGGAGGAAAGUGGGGAUGACGUCAAGUCAUCAUGGCCCUUACGACCAGGGCUACACACGUGCUACAAUGGCAUAUACAAAGAGAAGCGACCUCGCGAGAGCAAGCGGACCUCAUAAAGUAUGUCGUAGUCCGGAUUGGAGUCUGCAACUCGACUCCAUGAAGUCGGAAUCGCUAGCAAUCGUAGAUCAGAAUGCUACGGUGAAUACGUUCCCGGGCCUUGUACACACCGCCCGUCACACCAUGGGAGUGGGUUGCAAAAGAAGUAGGUAGCUUAACCUUCGGGAGGGCGCUUACCACUUUGUGAUUCAUGACUGGGGUGAAGUCGUAACAAGGUAGC